UUGUUUACCUUGUUACCUGGGAAAGACCACAAGGCUGUUUAAAAGAGCUGUCAGUGAAGGUGAACUCAUGGAUAUACGCUCCCUGUCCCACUGGGUCUGUUCUUUCAGGAUUUCUGAUAGUAAGAGAUGAGAGAAGGUACAAUUUAUUCAAUUCCGAGCAUUUUAAUAGAGUAAGAGUAAAGAUGUUAUGGAUGAUGUGUUGGUAUUUUUACAUGGGAAAAGGGAUGACAGGACCUUUAGUAACCUGUCUUAUGUAACCAUAUCAAAUGUAACAUACUGUAUCAUACUAAUUUGAACGUUUCGAAUUUGAAUUUAUGUUAUUUCUAGUCUAUGAGACUCUCCAUCACCACAUCUCUACCAUUCUGAAAAUAUGUGAAUUUACCUUGUAAAUUAAGAAAUGUUUCAAGGUUUAAAGGUGCAUUAUGGAGAUAUCGUUCUGUAAUUUCCUGGUUGCUAAACGUCUAAUAGUUUGCCUAAUUUCAGUUUAUGUGACAAACAAGCAAUGAAGAUCAUUGUACCAUCUAAACCGCUGUGAAAUAUAUUUUCUAUAACCAAAAAUAUUGUAUUUUCAGCUGUUUGAAAUUAAGCAGGUGUACAAAACUGAAAGUAAAAGAUACAAAAACAAAAUGUAAGAACAGGAAGCAUAGAAAUAUUGCACAUAGAACAGAUUUCUUCGCUUCUUGGACUUGCUUUCAAUGAGUGACAGAUCCAUAACUCAUAUUUCGGUGUGAAUUUGAUUGGGUGGGUCUUCCAAAAAUGUACAUAUUGCAGCUUUAAAAGCAACACUGGUCAGUAAAUGUUUUACUUUGUAACCAGCUAGUGGGCUGCUACUGCUAUUGACAGUGUACAACUAACUGCAGCCCGCCAGUUGGGGCAUUCCUGCAUGAAGUAUUAUCUUGAGUUUUAUCGACACCGCCUACUUUAGGCUGUAGAAAAAGCUAUCCAAAUAGCCAUUUUACUGGUUGAAGUUGAAGUGUUUAUUUAUUUAUUUUAUUUUUACGUAUAAUGCAGUUGAUGCGAUGAUAACACAAGCAUUGAGCAGGAUAUUCAUACGAGCCGUCAAAUCAUUAUACAAAAGUAGUGUGAAAUGCGUUCAUAAGAAGCAGGCUUUUUUUCUGGAGUUCUAUAACAACACCUUGUUCUGUCACCAAUGUGCCCGCAUCGCCCUCGUGCGGCAAUGUUUGCCAGUCUACCGGUCGCCCCCGUUAGUACAGCAGACCGUAGUGAGCUAACGCGCGGUGUCGCUCCCGCCUGCUGGGAUAAACUGCCAGACAGACGGGGGUGAAGGACACGCUGUCUACUGGUCGUCCCCGCAACUCAUUGGUAACUAGUUAUGUUGUAAUGUAGUGUUUAUCUGCAGUUCUGAUGCAUUACCGUAGUGGAGCGCCCCUGUCUUCCGCCUAUGUACUGGAGUCAUAGUUUAAAGACUGACAAUAUAAAUAUAAAGACUGGUUCCUGAAGAUGCAGGAAAGCCCACAUACAGGAACACCCCGAAUUGCGGGCUGCAGUUGUACUCUUCUCACUGAAAUGGGUGGUCUGGUCUGUCAUUGGUCCUGGUGAGGGUUUAUAACGUGAUAUGUCACCCGCGGAGUGAGGGUAGGGUGUUUUUUCUCUCUUCGGUGACAGGAUUAUCAUCUCAGCGUUUUAACACACCGCUAAACCGCAGAUCAAAAGUCGGGAAAGGUUCUGUUCGCUAUUACAAUGUAGUAGUGAAGUGGAAUAAGACAAACAGCUUUACCUAUACAACGGAAGGUAUUUGUAUGACGACAAGACCCCGAAGUGACAAUUCAUCGUCAAUAAUGUAUGUAUGAAUAUGUUUGUGAAUUUUAGGCUAUCUAUCAAUAUGAUAUUCUUCAUAUUUGUGUGGUCUAUAAUUUCUUACCAACGGAUAGCUGCACCCAGACCAUCUCUGCCUGGAUUGUGAUUAGCCUAGUUUGUUUUUGUCAAGCAAUUGUCAGGCAUUAUGCUAAGGGAUGCCUUUUGAGAUAACAGUUAUAUUCAUAUGAUUACAAUGGAGACUGAAAUAGGCUAUGGACAUAAACACAACAACAACUCGUUUUCACUUAGUCGUUAUUUAUACGUUGUAAACUGGUCCGAAUGUGAAAGAUUCCUGUUUGAACAGCAGUUUAUGCCAGGUCAUGCAUGUCCUCUGCUGCAGAACAGUGGCUGGAUUAUGCAUCAGCAUAGCUAACAAUUAUUCCAGUGGCAUAUACUGAAAAUAUAUCUGAAACGUAUUUGGAAUACAUGCCGUUGAUGUGGACCCCCAUUGAUUUGGCAGCCUUGACUGCCAGCCAGAUAGCUUUGUGUGGGAUCGCUGUGUCAUAACCCACUGGGCAGUCAUCAAUUCAACAUCUAUUCCAAAUUGGUUCUACAUCAUUUCAUUUAAAUGACGUGGAAACAAUGUUGAUUCAACCGGUGUGUGUGUACUUCUACUAUAUCAAUAAGAGCCUCAGCCAAUGGGAAUGUUGUUGUGUGUGUGUGCAUGUGUGUGUAUGUUUAUGUGUGUAUACAUGCUUCCGUGUGUAUGUGUGUGGUGUCUGUUAGGUGAGAUAAGAUGAUAAACUAGGUACAGUUAAUGCAGUUAUUGACUAAUCCUAUGAAAGGAGUGACUGUAUUAAAGGUUACCUUUCUCUCCGACCUGGCUGUCAGUGAAUGGGCUCGUGCCUCACCUCACCACACCUCACCUCACCUCACUACAGCCUCACCUCUAAUCUGAGUGGCCCUAGGAUGUAAUGGUACUACUGUGACAUGUGUCUUACAUUGUGGACUAGGAUUAAGUUACGCCUGAUCUAGGGUUUGCGUCGUUUUAUUUUAUUAACCCUAACCCUGGGCCUAUAUUGUGAGUAUCUUGUGAUUGGUUGUAAACCAGGAAGCAGUUUUAUGUCCUUGAGGGGGGAGUGGAGGAAACUUUUCAUCAGAAUAAGUUCCUUUAACACGUGGCCUUGUGUUUGUAUUAGUGGGGAUGGCAGAAUGUGUCGGGAGUGCGGCAGUGGGGGGCGGGGUAAUUAUGUAAUUGUUCUGAAAUGCCACGGCUCUGUAGUGUUGUCACAUUGAGGGAGAGAGGUGAGGCAUGAGGAAAGAGAACGAGAGAGAGGUGAGGCAUGAGGAAAGAGAAUGAGAGAGAGGUGAGGCAUGAGGAAAGAGAACGAGAGAGAGGUGAGGCAUGAGGAAAGAUAACGAGAGAGAGGUGAGGCAUGAGAAGAGAGAGGUGGGGCAUGAGGAAAGAGAACGAGAGAGAGGUGAGGCAUGAGAAGAGAGAGGUGGGGCAUGAGGAGAGAGAGGUGGGGCAUGAGGAGAGAGAGAUGGGGCAUGACGAGAGAGAGAGGUGAGGCAUGAGAAGAGGGAGGUGGGGCAUGAGGAAAGAGAACGAGAGAGAGGUGAGGCAUGAGAAGAGAGGUGGGGCAUGAGGAAAGAGAACGAGAGAGAGGUGAGGCAUGAGAAGAGAGAGGUGGGGCAUGAGGAAAGAGAACGAGAGAGAGGUGAGGCAUGAGAAGAGAGAGGUGGGGCAUGAGGAAAGAGAACGAGAGAGAGGUGAGGCAUGAGAAGAGAGAGGUGGGGCAUGAGGAGAGAGAGGUGGGGCAUGAGGAAAGAGAACGAGAGAGAGGCGAGGCAUGAGAAGAGAGAGGUGGGGCAUGAGGAAAGAGAACAAGAGAGAGGUGAGGCAUGAGAAGAGAGAGGUGAGGCAUGAGAAGAGAGAGGUGGGGCAUGAGGAAAGAGAACGAGAGAGAGGUGAGGCAUGAGAAGAGAGAGGUGGGGCAUGAGCAAAGAGAACGAGAGAGAGGUGAGGCAUGAGAAGAGAGAGGUGGGGCAUGAGGAGAGAGAGGUGGGGCAUGAGGAGAGAGAUGGGGCAUGACGAGAGAGAGAGGUGAGGCAUGAGAAGAGAGAGGUGGGGCAUGAGGAAAGAGAGGUGGGGCAUGAGAAGAGAGAGG